UAACACCCGUUCCCAUUCCGAACACGACGGUUAAGCCUUUAGAAGCCGAUGGUACUGCACGGGAGACUGUGUGGGAGAGUAGGUGGUCGCCA
rnacentral:rRNA from 1 species